UACGAAGGGGGCUAGCGUUGCUCGGAAUCACUGGGCGUAAAGGGUGCGUAGGCGGGUCUUUUAAGUCAGGGGUGAAAUCCUGGAGCUCAACUCCAGAACUGCCUUUGAUACUGAAGAUCUUGAGUUCGGGAGAGGUGAGUGGAACUGCGAGUGUAGUGGUGAAAUUCGUAGAUAUUCGCAAGAACACCAGUGGCGAAGGCGGCUCACUGGCCCGGUACUGACGGCUGAGGUGCGAAAGCGUGGGGGAGCAAACAGG
rnacentral:rRNA from 1 species